rnacentral:lncRNA from 9 species
GGGGAGGGCCCGCCGGGGGCCGACCUGCCGGCUCCUCCCCCCGCCGCCCAGCGAGCAUAAAGCCCCGCGCUCGCCCGCGCGCCCAGGCGCCCGCGGAGGCGGCGGCGCCCGGACCCCACUCCCGUUGGGCUCCCGGGUCCUCGAGGGCAAGAGAGACCCCGAAUCCCGAGGCGGGCCGGGACCUGGGCGCGGCCGCACCCCACACCCACCCUGGCUCGGGGGCCGGGCCGCGGGAACGCCCUCCCGGAAUGAAGCGCUUCCCGGUGCCUUCAAGCCCUACUCGGACUUCUGUCUAGAUUCGGGAACGCCGGUUCCAGAGUCUCCCCGUCCACUCCCCACGGAAGCUGUAAGAAAGAGUUCUAACCCCACCCCAUCGGAUUGGAAGUACCUAAGCUGCCGGCCCACUGUGUUUGGAGUGACUUCUCUCAGUCCAUCUCAAUUUAGACCACUCCCCAUGGAGGCAAAUGCCUUCCCGGCUUCCUUCUCCCCCCGACCCUGGCUUCUAGGUCUCUGAGAUCCUCCAGUGUUUUCGCCCCAGGCUCCUGGGAACCAUCUCACCCACCCCCUUAAACUCCCUCCCUCUAGCCUGGGAACCCGGAGGAAGCCCAUCCUGGAUCACCUCUGGAUCAAGAGUACUCUCCCUGUCUCCCCUUCUCCAAAUCCAUGUCCCCGCCUCAAUCCCCUGGCUGAAAUCAGCCAAGAAACUGUCAAAGCCAAAGGCUGAGGCAGCCAGCCACUCCUGCUCAAAUCCCUAACCCUGCUGGGGGUCUCAGUGCCACAUAAGCCACUCCCGCCCAAUUGCCUCCCACUCCUUCCCCCACCCACCUUCAAUCUAGCCAGUGUAACCCAGUGACAGUCCUUGAUGACAAGUUCCUUGCCCACCUUGACCUCCAUUCUCAAGUCACCCACCUUUUUAUUAAUGUGUGCUAGAGCUCUGGGCAACACAACCCUGACCUCUGUAAGGGUGCCCAUCCCCCUCCUCUUAGUACACCUCCCCUGCCCCCACCCCAACUACCUCUGGGAUAAGAACAUGAGAGACUCAAGUUAAUGGUUUCCUCUGGGACCUUCUGGGAACACUCAGCAGGUAUAUCCUGCCACCCUGUAUGCAUGACACUAGAAACAACUUGCUUUUUCCUGUUUUUUGUUUGUUGGUUGGUUUGUUUGUUUGUUUGUUUGUUUAUCAU